AGCCUCCUGAGUAGCUAGGAUGACACGCGUGAGCCAGCGGUACCUGGCUAAGAUCACCUUUUGAAUGUGGUUCCAUUAAAAAAAAAGAUCUGAAUUCCAUUCACUAAGAUUUAGGCAGCUGAACAGCUGUGGAGAGUUUCAGGAGUUCCAGACUACUGAAUGUAGGACAGACAAGCCAUGUGGUCAGCUGACUCACUUUC